GGGGAUUUAGCUCAGUGGUAGAGUGCUUGCCUAGCAAGCACAAGACCCUGGGUUCGGUCCCCAGCUCUG
rnacentral:tRNA from 1 species